GAGGUGGCGACCGGCGCACGGGUGAGUAACACGUAUGCAACCUGCCUGUAAGCGGGGAAUAACCCGUUGAAAGACGGACUAAUACCGCAUAAUACUAAAUUACUGCAUGGUAAUUUAUUUAAACAUUUAUGGCUUACAGAUGGGCAUGCGCAUGAUUAGCUAGUUGGAGAGGUAACGGCUCCCCAAGGCAACGAUCAUUAGGGGUUCUGAGAGGAAGGUCCCCCCACACUGGUACUGAGACACGGACCAGACUCCUACGGGAGGCAGCAGUGAGGAAUAUUGGUCAAUGGACGAGAGUCUGAACCAGCCAAGUCGCGUGCAGGAAGAAUUGUCCUAUGGAUUGUAAACUGCUUUUGCAGGGGAAUAAAGUGCAUCACGUGUGAUGUUUUGUAUGUACUCUGCGAAUAAGGAUCGGCUAACUCCGUGCCAGCCGCGGC
rnacentral:rRNA from 1 species